rnacentral:rRNA from 1 species
UACGGAGGGGCGAGCGUUAUUCGGAAUUAUUGGGCGUAAAGGGCGCGUAGGCGGCUGUACAAGUCAAAGGUGAAAUCCCUCGGCUCAACUGAGGAACUGCCUUUGAAACUGUACGGCUUGAGGCCGGGAGGGGGUAGCGGAAUUCCCAAUGUAGCGGUGAAAUGCGUAGAUAUUGGGAGGAACACCAGUGGCGAAGGCGGCUACCUGGACCGGUUCUGACGCUGAUGCGCGAAAGCG